rnacentral:rRNA from 1 species
GAUGAACGCUGGCGGCGUGCCUAAUACAUGCAAGUCGAGCGAAUGGAUUAAGAGCUUGCUCUUAUGAAGUUAGCGGCAGGCGGGUGAGUAACACGUGGGUAACCUGCCCAUAAGACUGGGAUAACUCCGGGAAACCGGGGCUAAUACCGGAUAACAUUUUGAACCGCAUGGUUCGAAAUUGAAAGGCGGCUUCGGCUGUCACUUAUGGAUGGACCCGCGUCGCAUUAGCUAGUUGGUGAGGUAACGGCUCACCAAGGCAACGAUGCGUAGCCGACCUGAGAGGGUGAUCGGCCACACUGGGACUGAGACACGGCCCAGACUCCUACGGGAGGCAGCAGUGGGGAAUCUUCCGCAAUGGACGAAAGUCUGACGGAGCAACGCCGCGUGAGUGAUGAAGGCUUUCGGGUCGUAAAACUCUGUUGUUAGGGAAGAACAAGUGCUAGUUGAAUAAGCUGGCACCUCGACGGUACCUAACCAGAAAGCCACGGCUAACUACGUGCCAGCAGCCGCGGUAA